rnacentral:rRNA from 1 species
AAGACGGUCUUGCUGUCACUUAUAGAUGGAUCCGCGCUGCAUUAGCUAGUUGGUAAGGUAACGGCUUACCAAGGCAACGAUGCAUAGCCGACCUGAGAGGGUGAUCGGCCACACUGGAACUGAGACACGGUCCAGACUCCUACGGGAGGCAGCAGUAGGGAAUCUUCCGCAAUGGGCGAAAGCCUGACGGAGCAACGCCGCGUGAGUGAUGAAGGUCUUCGGAUCGUAAAACUCUGUUAUUAGGGAAGAACAUAUGUGUAAGUAACUGUGCACAUCUUGACGGUACCUAAUCAGAAAGCCACGGCUAACUACGUGCCAGCAGCCGCGGUAAUACGUAGGUGGCAAGCGUUAUCCGGAAUUAUUGGGCGUAAAGCGCGCGUAGGCGGUUUUUUAAGUCUGAUGUGAAAGCCCACGGCUCAACCGUGGAGGGUCAUUGGAAACUGGAAAACUUGAGUGCAGAAGAGGAAAGUGGAAUUCCAUGUGUAGCGGUGAAAUGCGCAGAGAUAUGGAGGAACACCAGUGGCGAAGGCGACUUUCUGGUCUGUAACUGACGCUGAUGUGCGAAAGCGUGGGGAUCAAACAGGAUUAGAUACCCUGGUAGUCCACGCCGUAAACGAUGAGUGCUAAGUGUUAGGGGGUUUCCGCCCCUUAGUGCUGCAGCUAACGCAUUAAGCACUCCGCCUGGGGAGUACGACCGCAAGGUUGAAACUCAAAGGAAUUGACGGGGACCCGCACAAGCGGUGGAGC